ACUCUCUGAUCCUCUUGAGGUAGAUUGCGUCUUCUGCCCCACAAAAGGAGUGAGCUCACCACGGAUCAGGCUGAGUGUGUCUCUCCCUCCCCUGGCAGUCCUCCCAGAUUACAGCAUGACCCUCAGCUAUGAGUCACCUCUUUUCUCACAAACCCAGACGCUGUACAGAGCAGGCAGUUGCUCAUCUGCGCCAAUGCUGAGAAUUUACUGCGGCAAACUAGGAAAGAGAAGAUUUUCGUCUGACUGCUUUAUUAACAUGGGUCUGAAACCAUUCCUGAACAAAAAGCAAGCAGGCCAUGCCACAACUAAGACCAGCAUACUGAGUUUCCUGGGGUGGAAAAAUCAUGGACAAAUCAGGUGUUGAAAUGAAAGCUGAAUCCGUACCUUAACUGAAACCUUUGCAAAUAAUACAACGAACACAAAGGAGAGAACAAUUUAGAUUUUUGUAAAGAUUUUUUGUACUUAUUUUUUGUGUGGUAUAUUUGAUUUCUCAGAUUUUUUUUUCUUUUUACUCCUGAAAAACAUGGUUGUACUUGCCUAAACAAACUAGUUAGACUUGAGAAAAUAUUCAGAGUAAAAUUUAAAUUUAGUUGAAACUUGCUUGGCUUCAGGUUUCUUUACAGUCUCUAAGCUCAGCCCUGGUUCACUGGGAGGUUUGUGAAAGACCAUGAACUUUUACAGGGAACAUGGAUUGAUUUAUGAGUCUGCCUGAAAAUCCAUGUGAAAUUUGCCUUUCGCAUGACCACGAUGCAAAAAUAUCUUCUUUCCCCCUCAACCCCUUCCUGCGGUACUGGAUAAACUCUGAUGUGUUUUAUCUCCUGUUUCUGCACUGAGUCUUCCCAGCACAGGCAACAUCUUGCUCGUUUCUUUAUAAA
rnacentral:lncRNA from 1 species